rnacentral:rRNA from 1 species
GACGAACGCUGGCGGCGUGCUUAACACAUGCAAGUCGAACGGAAAGGCCCUGCUUUUGUGGGGUGCUCGAGUGGCGAACGGGUGAGUAACACGUGAGUAACCUGCCCUUGACUUUGGGAUAACUUCAGGAAACUGGGGCUAAUACCGGAUAGGAGCUCCUGCUGCAUGGUGGGGGUUGGAAAGUUUCGGCGGUUGGGGAUGGACUCGCGGCUUAUCAGCUUGUUGGUGGGGUAGUGGCUUACCAAGGCUUUGACGGGUAGCCGGCCUGAGAGGGUGACCGGCCACAUUGGGACUGAGAUACGGCCCAGACUCCUACGGGAGGCAGCAGUGGGGAAUAUUGCACAAUGGGCGGAAGCCGGAGGCAGCAACGCCGCGGGCGGGAUGACGGCCUUCGGGUUGUAAACCGCUUUCGCCUGUGACGAAGCGUGAGUGACGGUAAUGGGUAAAGAAGCACCGGCUAACUACGUG